AAUUUUGGACAAUGGGCGAAAGCCUGAUCCAGCAAUGCCGCGUGCAGGAUGAAGGCCUUCGGGUUGUAAACUGCUUUUGUACGGAACGAAAAAGCUUCUCCUAAUACGAGAGGCCCAUGACGGUACCGUAAGAAUAAGCACCGGCUAACUACGUGCCAGCAGCCGCGGUAAUACGUAGGGUGCAAGCGUUAAUCGGAAUUACUGGGCGUAAAGCGUGCGCAGACGGUUAUGUAAGACAGAUGUGAAAUCCCCGGGCUCAACCUGGGAACUGCAUUUGUGACUGCAUGGCUAGAGUACGGUAGAGGGGGAUGGAAUUCCGCGUGUAGCAGUGAAAUGCGUAGAUAUGCGGAGGAACACCGAUGGCGAAGGCAAUCCCCUGGACCUGUACUGACGCUCAUGCACGAAAGCGUGGGGAGCAAACAGGAUUAGAUACCCUGGUAGUCCACGCCCUA
rnacentral:rRNA from 1 species